GAGUGGCGAACGGGUGAGUAACACGUGGGAAACCUACCUCUUAGCAGGGGAUAACAUUUGGAAACAGAUGCUAAUACCGUAUAACAAUGACAACCGCAUGGUUGUUAUUUAAAAGAUGGUUCUGCUAUCACUAAGAGAUGGUCCCGCGGUGCAUUAGCUAGUUGGUAAGGUAAUGGCUUACCAAGGCGAUGAUGCAUAGCCGAGUUGAGAGACUGAUCGGCCACAAUGGGACUGAGACACGGCCCAUACUCCUACGGGAGGCAGCAGUAGGGAAUCUUCCACAAUGGGCGAAAGCCUGAUGGAGCAACGCCGCGUGUGUGAUGAAGGGUUUCGGCUCGUAAAACACUGUUGUAAGAGAAGAAUGACAUUGAGAGUAACUGUUCAAUGUGUGACGGUAUCUUACCAGAAAGGAACGGCUAAAUACGUGCCAGCAGCCGCGGUAAUACGUAUGUUCCAAGCGUUAUCCGGAUUUAUUGGGCGUAAAGCGAGCGCAGACGGUUAUUUAAGUCUGAAGUGAAAGCCCUCAGCUCAACUGAGGAAUUGCUUUGGAAACUGGAUGACUUGAGUGCAGUAGAGGAAAGUGGAACUCCAUGUGUAGCGGUGAAAUGCGUAGAUAUAUGGAAGAACACCAGUGGCGAAGGCGGCUUUCUGGACUGUAACUGACGUUGAGGCUCGAAAGUGUGGGUAGCAAACAGGAUUAGAUACCCUGGUAGUCCACACCGUAAACGAUGAGUGCUAGGUGUUUGAGGGUUUCCGCCCUUAAGUGCCGCAGCUAACGCAUUAAGCACUCCGCCUGGGGAGUACGACCGCAAGGUUGAAACUCAAAGGAAUUGACGGGGACCCGCACAAGCGGUGGAGCAUGUGGUUUAAUUCGAAGCAACGCGAAGAACCUUACCAGGUCUUGACAUCCCUUGACAACUCCAGAGAUGGAGCGUUCCCUUCGGGGACAAGGUGACAGGUGGUGCAUGGUUGUCGUCAGCUCGUGUCGUGAGAUGUUGGGUUAAGUCCCGCAACGAGCGCAACCCUUAUUACUAGUUGCCAGCAUUCAGUUGGGCACUCUAGUGAGACUGCCGGUGACAAACCGGAGGAAGGUGGGGAUGACGUCAAAUCAUCAUGCCCCUUAUGACCUGGGCUACACACGUGCUACAAUGGCGUAUACAACGAGUUGCCAACCCGCGAGGGUGAGCUAAUCUCUUAAAGUACGUCUCAGUUCGGAUUGUAGGCUGCAACUCGCCUACAUGAAGUCGGAAUCGCUAGUAAUCGCGGAUCAGCACGCCGCGGUGAAUACGUUCCCGGGUCUUGUACACACCGCCCGUCACACCAUGAGAGUUUGUAACACCCAAAGCCGGUGGGGUAACCUUCGGGAGCCAGCCGUCUAAGGUGGGACAGAUGAUUAGGGUG
rnacentral:rRNA from 1 species